ensembl:snoRNA
AUCCCUUUGUGGUUCAUAAGCAUGAUGACUGAGUUUUUGCACUCCUGUGUGAGACGUAGCUCCCUCAAAUCUUAUGACAUACACAUAUUACCUGACUCACA